GACGAACGCUGGCGGCGUGCCUAACACAUGCAAGUCGAGCGGAGUUAGUUUGUAGCUUGCUACAAACUAACUUAGCGGCGGACGGGUGAGUAACGCGUGGAUAACCUGCCUUUUACAGGGGGAUAACACAGGGAAACUUGUGCUAAUACCGCAUAACAUAUAGAAGUGGCAUCACUUUUAUAUCAAAGGAGCAAUUCGGUAGAAGAUGGAUCCGCGUCCGAUUAGCUAGUUGGCGGGGUAAAGGCCCACCAAGGCGACGAUCGGUAGCCGAACUGAGAGGUUGAUCGGCCACAUUGGGACUGAGACACGGCCCAGACUCCUACGGGAGGCAGCAGUGGGGAAUAUUGCGCAAUGGGGGAAACCCUGACGCAGCAACGCCGCGUGAAGGAUGAAGGCUUUCGGGUUGUAAACUUCUUUAGUCGGGGACGAAUGGAUGACGGUACCCGAAGAAUAAGCCACGGCUAACUACGUGCCAGCAGCCGCAGUAA
rnacentral:rRNA from 1 species